UCUCAGUGGCCAUGACUGUUCUGCCAUUACUCCCCAUUCCCCUGGAGAGGGAAUCUUUUAGAUUCUUUGUUUCCUUUCUUGUGUGAUGAAAUCACAUCACUCAUUUUUGCCCUUCUGUUUCUGUUUUCUCGCUCAGUGCCUGCAAGGACUGGAUUUUCUUCAUUCAAAUGAUGUGGUCCAUCGAGACGUGAAGAGUGACAACAUCCUUCUCAGAACGGACGGUUCUGUCAAACUGGCUGAUUUUGGCCUCGCUACUCAGCUCACCCCUGAGCAGAGCAGACGGUGCUCGGUAACCGGGACUCCUUGGUGGAUGGCGCCUGAAGUGGUGACAGGUCAACCAUAUGGCCCCAAAGUGGACAUAUGGUCUUUUGGAAUUGUGGGAAUUGAAAUGAUAGAACAAGAACCUCCUUACUUGGGCGAAAGUUCUGGCACGGCUACAUACCUGAUAGCCACAGUAGGGACUCCACAGCUGCGGCAGCCCAAGCUCCUCUCGGCUUUGCUGCGUGACUUCC